GAUCCUGGGCUCAGGACGAACGCUGGCGGCGUGCUUAACACACGCAAGUCGAACGGAAAGAGAUGAAAGAGCUUGCUCUUUUAUUAAUUUCAGUGGCAAACGGGUGAGUAACACGUAAACAACCUGCCUUAAGGAUGGGGAUAACAGACGGAAACGACUGCUAAUACCGAAUACGUUCUAAGCAUCGCAUGGUGCAUAGAAGAAAGGGUGGCCUCUACAAGAAAGCUAUCGCCUUAAGAGGGGUUUGCG
rnacentral:rRNA from 1 species